AAAUCUUCUUUCGAUUCUGAAUCUCUUUCUUGAAUUAUGAUGAUUGAUUAACUUUCUUCUUAAAAAAAUCAUCUUCGCGCUUGCUGCAAUUUCUUACGGUUCGAUAUUUAUGGAGAAAUGACCUACCUACCUUUCUUGUUCACGCUAGAUGUUCUUCAAAUUAUUCGUUUGGAAUGUUUCAUUGAAAACGACCUUGUUUGUUUUAUUUUUUUUUAAAGUUCAUAGGAAAAAUAGAUUUGUUUUUUUGUGUAAAAUAUAUUAAAACACAUACUUACUCAUUUUUCUUCAUUUUCUUUGUUUAUUACAGGUUAUUAUGUCAAGGCGAGACAUCUCUCAUGUUGUGGAAUGUUAGUUAUUAUGGCAAAUGAGAGAGGAUGAAGAAAUGUAUGAUUUUUUCGCCCAUCUACCUGUACAUGCCAUGACAAACCGAGCUUCCCUUCGUCAUUUCAUUGCGGAGUACCCGCCGACGGAAAACAGAAGAAUCAUACUCCACCAGUUUGAUGCUUUAGAUUGGAAUUGGAAUGAUACCGCAACUGUUCUCUCCAAUUACGUGGAUGAUACUCACUUCAACAACUUUAUUUUGUUGAAGGCAAUGAAGCUUUUGGCACAAUAAAACUUCUGAGAAAGAAUAAUAGGUGGGUCAAUGAAGAUUGGCGUGAAAAUCCACCUGUAGCGCUUGUUUUCACAGAAUGUUGUAUUUGCUUAGACGAUAUCACUGACACUCCAGUCAAUGAUCUUCUUGGGUUGCAAUGCUAUCAACAUGUCUUCCAUGGAACAUACAUUCUUAACUGGGUCUAGAAAAAAUAUGCUUAACCUUCUUGUCCCGUCUGUUCCCGUAUGAUUUAUGUAUUAUGGUUUGUUGGAAUUUGUAUUUGGUUAUUUAUGUUUUAUCUGUCAAAGAUGGUUAGUGGUUUGUGUGUUGUGUUGUGAUGUAGCUUGUUUGGUUAUGUACUCUUAGUUAAUUCGUCUAAUAGUAAAUAAUAAUAGUUUUCAUGUUUCUGCAAACAUUCAGAUCGCUAGCUAGCUAGCUGCUGCAUCUAAUUCUCCGAAUUGAGGUAAUCUUAAACCUUCUUUCGAUUCUGAAUCUCUUUCUUGAUUUAUGAUGAUUGCUUAACUUUCUUCUUAACAAGAUCAUCUUCGCGCUUGCUGAUAUUUCUUACGGUUCGAUAUUUAUGGAGAAAUGACCUACCUACCUUUCUUGUUCACGUUAGAUGUUCUUCAAAUUAUUCGUUUGGAAUGUUUGAUUGAAAACCACCUUGUUUGUUUUAUUUUUUUUUAAAGUUCGUAGGAAAAAUAGAUUUGUUGUUUUGUGUAAAAUAUAUUAAAACACAUACUUACUCAUUUUUCUUCAUUUUCUUUGUUUAUUACAUUUUAUUAUGGCAAGGCGAGACAUCUCUCAUGUUGUGGAAUGUUAUGGAACUUAUGUUAGUUCCAAUAAUGAUUUGGAGAUGGAUAUCACUUUACAUGGUUAUCAAGUAAUGGGAAUAUCAUUUACGAGAACGAUUCAUCAUCCUAUAUAAGGUAUAGAUGUGUUAUUAGGCCAGAUGAGAGAGGAUGAAGAAAUGUAUGAUUUUUUCGCCCAUCUACCUGUACAUACCAUGAUAAACCGAGCUUCCCUUCGUCAUUGCAUUGCGGAGUACCCGCCGACGGAAAACAGAAGAAUCAUACCCCACCAGUUUGAUGCUUUAGAUUGGAAUUGGAAUGAUACCGCAACUGUUCUCUCCAAUUACGUGGAUGAUACUCACUUCAACAACUUUAUCCCUUUCAUUGUUGAAGGCAAUGAAGCUUUUGGCACAAUACAACUUCUGAGAGAGGAUAAUAGGUGAGUCAAUGAAGAUUGGUGUGAAAAUCCACCUGUAGUGCUUGUUUUCACAGAAUGUUGUAUUUGCUUAGACAAUAUCACUGACACUCCGGUCAAUGAUCUUCUUGGGUUGCAAUGAUGCCAACAUGUCUUCCAUGGAACAUCCAUUCUUAACUGGGUCUAGAAAAACUAUGCUUAACCUUCUUGUCCCGUGUGUUCCCAUAUGAUUUAUGUAUUAUGGUUUGUUGGAAUUUGUAUUUGGUUAUUUAUGUUUUAUCUGUCAAAGAUGGUUAGUGGUUUGUGUGCUGUGUUAUGAUGUAGCUUAUUUGGUUAUGUACUCUUAGUUAAGUCGUCUAAUAAUAAAUAAUAAUAGUUUUCAUGUUUCUGCAAACAUUCAGAUCGCUAGCUAGCUAGCUGCUGCAUCUAUUCUCCGAUUUGAGGUAAUCAUAAACCUUCUUUCGAUUCUGAAUCUCUUUCUUGAAUUAUGAUGAUUGCUUAACUUUCUUCUUGACAAGAUCAUCUUCGCGCUUGCUGCAAUUUCUUACGGUUCGAUAUUUAUGGAGAAAUGACCUACCUACCUCUCUUUGUCAAGUUAGAUGUUCUUCAAAUUAUUCGUUUGGAAUGUUUGAUUGAAAACGACCUUGUUUGUUUUAUUUUUUUUUUAAGUUCAUAGGAAAAAUAGAUUUGUUGUUUUGUGUAAAAUAUAUUAAAACACAUACUUACUCAUUUUUCUUCAUUUCCUUUGUUUAUUACAGGUUAUUAUGUCAAGGCGAGACAUCUCUCAUGUUGUGGAAUGUUAUGGAACUGAUAUUAGUUCCAAUAAUGAUUUGGAGAUGGAUAUCACCUUACCAGGUUAUCAAGUAACUGGGAAUAUCAUUUACGAGAACGAUUCAUCGUCCUAUAGAUGGCAUAGAUGUGUUCUUAGGCUAGAUGAGAGAGGAUGAAGAAAUGUAUGAUUUUUUCGCCUAUCUACCUGUACAUGCCAUGAAAAACCGAGCUUCCCUUCGUCAUUGCAUUGCGGAGUACCCGCCGACGGAAAACAGAAGAAUCAUACCCCACCAAUUUGAUGCUUUAGAUUGGAAUUGGAAUGAUACCGUAACUGUUCUCUCCAAUUACGUGGAUGAUACUCACUUCAACAACUUUUCCCUUUCAUUGUUGAAGGCAAUGAAUCUUUUGGCACAAUAAAACUUCUGAGAGAGGAUAAUAGGUGGGUCAAUUAAGAUUGGCGUGAAAAUCCACCUGUAGCGCUUGUUUUCACAGAAUGUUGUAUUUGCUUAGACGAUAUCACUGACACUCCGGUCAAUGAUCUUCUUGGGUUGGAAUGCUGCCAACAUGUCUUCCAUGGAACAUGCGUUCUUAACUGGGUCUAGCAAAACUAUGCUUAACCUUCUUGCCCCGUCUGUUCCCGUAUGAUUUAUGUAUUAUGGUUUGUUGGAAUUUGUAUUUGGUUAUUUAUGUUUUAUCUGUCAAAGAUUGUUAGUGGUUUGUGUGAUGUGUUGUGAUGUAGCUUGUUUGGUUAUGUACUCUUAGUUAAGUCGUCUAAUAAUAAAUAAUAAUAGUUUUCAUGUUUCUGCAAACAUUCAGAUCGUAGCUAGCUAGCUGCUGCAUCAAAUUCUCCGAUUUGAGGUAAUCUUAAACCUUCUUUCGAUUCUGAAUCUCUUUCUUGAAUUAUGAUGAUUGCUUAACUUUCUUCUUAACAAGAUCAUCUUCGGGCUUGCUGCAAUUUCUUACGGUUCGAUAUUUAUGGAUAAAUGACCUACCUACCUUUCUUGUUCACGUUAGAUGUUCUUCAAAUUAUUCGUUUGGAAUGUUUGAUUGAAAACGACGUUGUUUUUUUUUUUUUAAGUUCAUAGGAAAAAUAGAUUUGUUGUUUUGUGUAAAAUAUAUUAAAACACAUA
rnacentral:lncRNA from 1 species